rnacentral:lncRNA from 1 species
CUUAAAAUAACAAAUCUUUGAUAACCCUGAGUCUAACUGAAGGUUUAGACAGGGGCAUAACAAGAGUAUCAGGCAGCAUUGUCUGUGGAAGGAAUGGAUUUGUGGUUUGCAGCUUUAUACAGAGCAAGUCUACUUGCUUUGCCAAGACAAUGUUUUCUUAAAUAUAGCACCCACGCACAAUGAUUUUCUGUUAGGUUGCUGAAUCAUGAUUACUGAAAUCUGAGUCAACAUUAGAAGUUUAGUUUAGCUCUUGUUUUUGACAUCUAUUCAAAGUGGCGAGAGAGACUAAAUAGCGAUAGUACUAAAAGAUCACCUGGGGAAACUGUGCAUCUACCAAUGCCUGUAUACUGGUUGCUUCAUCCCUACCUUUACAAAUACAGACAGCUAUUUUUGUGCAUCCAUGUUUUUUUGCUUGGAAGUCAUAGAGUGGAGGGA